AUUGAACGCUGGCGGCAGGCCUAACACAUGCAAGUCGAGCGGAUGAAGGGAGCUUGCUCCUGGAUUCAGCGGCGGACGGGUGAGUAAUGCCUAGGAAUCUGCCUGGUAGUGGGGGAUAACGUCCGGAAACGGGCGCUAAUACUGCAUACGUCCUGAGGGAGAAAGUGGGGGAUCUUCGGACCUCACGCUAUCAGAUGAGCCUAGGUCGGAUUAGCUAGUCGGUGGGGUAAAGGCCUACCAAGGCGACGAUCCUUAACUGGUCUGAAAGGAUGGUCAGUCACGCGGGAACUGAGACGCGCUACAGUCGCCUGAGGUAGGCAGCAGUGGGGAAUAUUGGACAAUGGGCGUAAUCCUUAUCCAACCAGGCCGCGUGUGUGAAGAAGGUCUUCGGAUUGUAAAGCACUUUAAGUUGGGAGGAAGGGCAGUAAGUUAAGACCUUGCUGUUUUGACGUUACCAACAGAAGAAGCACCGGCUAACUUCGUG
rnacentral:rRNA from 1 species